UCGCGUGUCGAUAAGGAUUCCCGGCGGAUUUCUAAUCCGACGGUCGGGGGUUCGAAUCCCUCCGGGCGCG
rnacentral:tRNA from 1 species